rnacentral:rRNA from 1 species
AGUGAACGCUGGCGGUAGGCCUAACACAUGCAAGUCGAACGGCAGCACAGUAAGAGCUUGCUCUUACGGGUGGCGAGUGGCGGACGGGUGAGGAAUACAUCGGAAUCUACUUUUUCGUGGGGGAUAACGUAGGGAAACUUACGCUAAUACCGCAUACGACCUACGGGUGAAAGCAGGGGAUCUUCGGACCUUGCGCGAUUGAAUGAGCCGAUGUCGGAUUAGCUAGUUGGCGGGGUAAAGGCCCACCAAGGCGACGAUCCGUAGCUGGUCUGAGAGGAUGAUCAGCCACACUGGAACUGAAACACGGUCCAGACUCCUACGGGAGGCAGCAGUGGGGAAUAUUGGACAAUGGGCGCAAGCCUGAUCCAGCCAUACCGCGUGGGUGAAGAAGGCCUUCGGGUUGUAAAGCCCUUUUGUUGGGAAAGAAAAGCAGCAGGUUAAUACCCCGCUGUUCUGACGGUACCCAAGGAAUAAGCACCGGCUAACUUCGUG